GUCUACGGCCAUACCACCCCUGAACGCGCCCGAUCUCGUCUGAUCUCGGAAGCUAAGCAGGGUCGGGCCCGGUUAGUACUUGGAUGGGCAGACCCGCCUGGGAAUACCGGGUGCGGUAGGCU
rnacentral:rRNA from 1 species